GAUGAACGCUAGCUACAGGCUUAACACAUGCAAGUCGAGGGGAAACGAUAGAGAAAGCUUGCUUUUUCUAGGCGUCGACCGGCGCACGGGUGAGUAACGCGUAUCCAACCUGCCCAUCACUUGGGGAUAACCUUGCGAAAGUAAGACUAAUACCCAAUGACGUCUCUAGAAGACAUCUGAAAGGGAUUAAAGAUUUAUCGGUGAUGGAUGGGGAUGCGUCUGAUUAGCUUGUUGGCGGGGUAACGGCCCACCAAGGCGACGAUCAGUAGGGGGUCUGGGAGGAAGGUCCCCCACACUGGAACUGAGACACGGUCCAAACUCCUACGGGAGGCAGCAGUGAGGAAUAUUGGUCAAUGGACGAGAGUCUGAACCAGCCAAGUAGCGUGCAGGAUGACGGCCCUAUGGGUUGUAAACUGCUUUUAUAAGGGAAUAAAGUGAGAGUCGUGACUCUUUUUGCAUGUACCUUAUGAAUAAGGACCGGCUAAUUCCGUGCCAGCCGCCGCCGUAA
rnacentral:rRNA from 1 species